rnacentral:rRNA from 1 species
GACGAACGCUGGCGGCGUGCUUAACACAUGCACGUCGAGCGGAGUGGCGAACGGGUGAGUAACGCGUGAGUAACUGCCCCCCUCUCUGGGACAACAGUUGGAAACGGAUGCGAAUAACGGAUAGUGGGGGAUGACUCGCGUCCUAUAAGCUUGUUGGUGGGGUAGGGGCCUACCAAGGCGACGACGGGUAGCCGCACUGAGAGGGCGACCGGCCACAUUGGGCUGUGAUACGGCCCAAGCUCCAACGGGCGGCAGCAGUGGUGAAUAUUGCACAAUGGGGGAAACCCUGAGGCAGCACCGCCGCGUGCGUGAUGUCGGCCUUCGGGUUGUAAACCGCUUUCAGCCAUGACGCGGUAGUGGCAGAAGAAGCACCGGCUAACUACGUGCCAGCAGCCGCGGUAAUUC